CCUACGGGAGGCAGCAGUAAGGAAUAUUGGUCAAUGGACGAAAGUCUGAACCAGCCAUGCCGCGUGGAGGAUGAAGGUCCUCUGGAUUGUAAACUUCUUUUAUAUGGGACGAAAAAAGGCCUUUCCAGGUCGUCUGACGGUACCAUAUGAAUAAGCACCGGCUAACUCCGUGCCAGCAGCCGCGGUAAUACGGAGGGUGCAAGCGUUAUCCGGAUUCACUGGGGUGAAGGGGUGCGGAGGUGUCUGGGUAGAAAUCCCCGGGCUUAACGUGGGAACUGCCAUUGAUACUAUCAGUCUUGAAUACCGUGGAGGUCAGCGGAAUAUGUCAUGUAGCGGUGAAAUGCUUAGAUAUGACAUAGAACACCAAUUGCGAAGGCAGCUGGCUACACGAGUAUUGACACUGAGGCACGAAAGCGUGGGGAUCAAACAGGAUUAGAUACCCGGGUAGUC
rnacentral:rRNA from 1 species